rnacentral:rRNA from 1 species
GUCUCGUUGGUGACCAGCGGAGGGAUCAUUAC